rnacentral:misc_RNA from 1 species
AACCAUUCUCACCUGCGGCUAGACCUGCGGAAGGAUCAUUAAAAAAUCUUUGCCCGCGGACCCUGGGUCCAAGGCGCAAAACCCACACUGUGUGCACUGUUAUCGUUCUUUUGGCAGGGACUUGGGGUGUUUUCCAACAUGGGGAACCUCAACUUCUCGUCUAGCUCUAUCCACCUCGGACAGCUGGACAUGAGAAGCAGUUACUCUGCCAAGUGACCCUUAAAAACACUCUUUUUUGUC